rnacentral:rRNA from 1 species
AAUGAGGGAGGGGCAGACGGGUGAGUAACACGUGGGAACAUGCCCUUUGGUUUGGGAUAACUCAGGGAAACUUGAGCUAAUACCGGAUAAGCCCGAGAGGGGAAAGAUUUAUCGCCGAAGGAUUGGCCCGCGUCCGAUUAGCUAGUUGGUGAGGUAACGGCUCACCAAGGCGACGAUCGGUAGCUGGUCUGAGAGGAUGAUCAGCCACACUGGGACUGAGACACGGCCCAGACUCCUACGGGAGGCAGCAGUGGGGAAUAUUGGACAAUGGGCGCAAGCCUGAUCCAGCCAUGCCGCGUGAGUGAUGAAGGCCCUAGGGUUGUAAAGCUCUUUCGCCAGGGACGAUAAUGACGGUACCUGGAUAAGAAGCCCCGGCUAACUUCGUGCCAGCAGCCGCGGUAAUACGAAGGGGGCUAGCGUUGUUCGGAAUCACUGGGCGUAAAGCGCACGUAGGCGGAUCUUUAAGUCAGGGGUGAAAUCCCGGGGCUCAACCCCGGAACUGCCCUUGAUACUGGAGAUCUCGAGUCCGGGAGAGGUGAGUGGAACUGCGAGUGUAGAGGUGAAAUUCGUAGAUAUUCGCAAGAACACCAGUGGCGAAGGCGGCUCACUGGCCCGGAACUGACGCUGAGGU